UACGUAGGGUGCAAGCGUUAAUCGGAAUUACUGGGCGUAAAGCGUGCGCAGGCGGAUAUGUAAGUUAGAUGUGAAAUCCCCAGGCUUAACCUGGGAACUGCAUUUAAGACUGCAUGUCUAGAGUUUGUCAGAGGGGGGUAGAAUUCCAAGUGUAGCAGUGAAAUGCGUAGAGAUUUGGAGGAAUACCGAUGGCGAAGGCAGCCCCCUGGGAUAAAACUGACGCUCAUGCACGAAAGCGUGGGUAGCAAACAGG
rnacentral:rRNA from 1 species